UACGAGGGGGGCGAGCGUUGUUCGGAAUUAUUGGGCGUAAAGGGCGCGCAGGCGGUCGGAUAAGUCUUGUGUGAAAUCUUCGGGCUCAACUCGAAGUCUGCACAGGAAACUAUCUGGCUUGAGUGUGGGAGAGGUGAGUGGAAUUCCUGGUGUAGCGGUGAAAUGCGUAGAUAUCAGGAGGAACACCUGUGGCGAAAGCGGCUCACUGGACCACAACUGACGCUGAGGCGCGAAAGCUAGGGGAGCAAACAGG
rnacentral:rRNA from 1 species